UCCGCCGAGCCGCUCCUCUCAAUCCAGAAAUCCGGCGACCCAGCGGCGCCCCUCGCCCGCCCGUCGUCGCCGUUCUCCUCGCCUCGCCAGCCCGCCAUCGCCGUUCUGCUCGCCUCGUCCGCCCGCAGUCGCCCACUCGCUCCCAGCCCCCGCAGUUCCACCGCGACCCUCGCCCAGUCGCCCUAUCGUUCCCGUCGUUCCGCCGCCGCCGAGCUUGUCGCCCUGCAGCAGCCGUGCCGCCUCCGAGCUCCAACAACGUCACACCAGUUCUUCUUCUUCUUCUUCUUCUUCUUUAAUACAAAUUUCCUAUGUCAAUGUUGAAUAAUUGAAUUUGCUGCUUUGAAUAAUUGAAUUUGGUCCUUGAAUUUCACUAUGUCAAUGUUGAAUUUCGGCUGAAUUUGCUGCCCUGCUUUGAAUUGGUUGCCAUGCCCCCUGCAUCAUUUCCUCCUUGUUAUUUGUUGGUUGUCUCUUUGUUGUUUGUUACACGUAGAGGCUCUCUAUGUAUUCGGGUAAUUUAGGGUACCGAAUACCCGAAUCGGGUAUUAGGGUACCCGAUUAAGAAAUCGGGUUCGGGGUCGGGUAUCAGUUUCCGGCCUUAUUCGGGGUUGGAUACCUCGGGUAGGGUACCCGAUCCCGACCCGAUUCCCACCCCUAGAUCUUAUACAUUUCUUCGUUUAUUGUGAAACUCACUUUUCGUCGUUCUAUGUUGGUAAACAUCAGGGAUCUGUCAAUGGCUGACUCUUCCAAGUCCUUGAAACUCCCCAACUCUACUGCUACAGGUAAUUCAACACUCCAGUUAUUCACUACAAAGAAAAACAACAACUAUGCUUAAUUUUCUUUUAAUGAAAGCUGUAAUCUUGUGAUUUUAAGGGCAACAUUUUUAGGGAGUAAAAGAUUUUUGAAAACGAGACGGGUGAUGUUAGGCUUAGGUGCAUGCGUUUGAAAGAAUGCUUCUUGAAAAAUUGGCUGAUGAGUUGCAUAUCUUCUUCCCUAGUUGAAGAGUGGGUAGAUGAUUACUUUUUUAUUUUUAAAUUUUGGGGGGCGUUUAUAUUUGAAUUUCUGAUGUCCUGAUUGCAUAAAAUUUAAAUAAAAUUGAUUUUCAUGUUUAUUGAUUGAUUUGGAAUGGUUAACUCAUUUCAGUUUGGUCUUUUUCUGACAUACGAAGAACUCAAUGCGCCAUUUGGGUGGUAAAGGCUUGUUAAAUUUUGUUGGCUGAAAAGUGGAAAAUAUUGUUUAUGAUAGUUUGAAGUUAACUCUGAUUCAUUGGACUCAUUAUUCUUAUAUAUGUGGUUGUGAUCACAGGGCACAAGAAAAUGAAAGUCAAGAUUAUACGUAUCCUACAUAUGUGUGUGUGUGCAUACAUGCAAUUGGAUAUCUCCAUGGGCGUAUUAGCAUAUUCCAUAAACAGAUUAUAAAUUAUGUCCUUUUACUGGUUAUAGGUCGUAAGGUGUGAUUACCAGGAUUAACUUUUGAGUAAUAUUGUUCUGUAAUUUGUAUAAGUUGAAUAAUCUAAUUUUUUUUUGUGUAAGUUC
rnacentral:lncRNA from 1 species